AUCAAGGCAAAGAAAAGAAAUAGUAAGCAGGUAGCUUUUUUAGAGAGUCGGUGGUAGGUGAGAAUCGAUAAAGUCAACUGUUGAAUCCCUCUUGGAGCCAUGUACUGAAAUAAAGUAGUAGGUAACAUCGGUUUGCAACCGUUAAAAAGCAGUAGAGUGAAUUAAUGUAUAUUAAUUAACUAGGGUGGCAACACGGAAAUAGAGCUUCCGUCCCUUUA
rnacentral:ncRNA from 1 species